rnacentral:rRNA from 1 species
UCGGGUAUGCAUACCCGUUUGCAUGUACUUUAUGAAUAAGGACCGGCUAACUCCGUGCCAGCAGCCGCGGUAAUACGGGGGAUCCGAGCGUUAUCCGGAUUUAUUGGGUUUAAAGGGAGCGUAGAUGGAUGUUUAAGUCAGUUGUGAAAGUUUGCGGCUCAACCGUAAAAUUGCAGUUGAUACUGGAUGUCUUGAGUGCAGUUGAGGCAGGCGGAAUUCGUGGUGUAGCGGUGAAAUGCUUAGAUAUCACGAAGAACUCCGAUUGCGAAGGCAGCCUGCUAAGCUGCAACUGACAUUGAGGCUCGAAAGUGUGGGUAUCAAACAGGAUUAGAUACCCUGGUAGUCCACACGGUAAACGAUGAAUACUCGCUGUUUGCGAUAUACGGCAAGCGGCCAAGCGAAAGCGUUAAGUAUUCCACCUGGGGAGUACG